rnacentral:lncRNA from 1 species
UUUAAGCAUGAGGUGUUGAUCAAUCCUUAAAUAAGGUAAGGGACACUAAAAGCGAUAUAAUUGCAGAAAAUGAAUAAGAGAGCUACUUAUUAUCUUACUCCCAUUUUGUUUCACACCCAUUUCUCUGCCCCUUCAUACUCUCAGGUUACCACUACAAAGAUUUACUAAUUCUUGAUAAAGACUUCACCAAAAUCUCUAAGAAUUGAAGUUGGAAACUGAAUUGGGAGAAGAUUUGAAGUCAAAUUACAUCAAGGAAAGGUUGCAUCCAUCUAUCAUCAAGUUAGGAUUUUCUUAAUUAAGUCAUGUUGAAAGGUAAGCAUAUACUUUUCAAAUUUAAAGAAAUUAUUGAGUUAUAAUUAUAGAAAUUGAAUGAAUAAUAGUUGUUAUUAUUAUGUUAUUGUUGUAGCAGUUUGGAUUAUGGAACAUGAAGGGUUCAGAUGAUAUAAGGAUGGAAUUAGAGUAUGGAGAUGGUGUUUUUAUGUUUCAAAUUCAUAAAAACACUAGGUUUUAAAGCAUGCAUGUUAGGUGUUUGAUAAAAUGCUUCAAAGAG